rnacentral:rRNA from 1 species
UACAGAGGUCUCAACCGUUGUUCGGAUUCAUUGGGCGUAAAGGGUGCGUAGGCGGCGGGGCAAGUCAGGUGUGAAAUCUCGGGGCUCAACCCCGAAACUGCACUUGAUACUGCCUUGCUCGAGUACUGGAGAGGAGACUGGAAUUUACGGUGUAGCAGUGAAAUGCGUAGAUAUCGUAAGGAAGACCAGUGGCGAAGGCGGGUCUCUGGACAGUUCCUGACGCUGAGGCACGAAGGCCAGGGGAGCAAACGGG